rnacentral:rRNA from 1 species
UUUGCCCUUCGGGUCGACGAUUCGCGGCCUAUCAGCUUGUUGGAGAGGUAACGGCUCACCAAGGCAUCGACGGGUAGCUGGUCUGAGAGGAUGAUCAGCCACACUGGGACUGAGACACGGCCCAGACUCCUACGGGAGGCAGCAGUGGGGAAUCUUGCACAAUGGGCGCAAGCCUGAUGCAGCGACGCCGCGUGGGGGAUGAAGGCCUUCGGGUUGUAAACCCCUUUUAGCAGGGAAGAAGCGAAAGUGACGGUACCUGCAGAAAAAGCGCCGGCUAACUACGUGCCAGCAGCCGCGGUAAUACGUAGGGCGCAAGCGUUGUCCGGAAUUAUUGGGCGUAAAGAGCUCGUAGGCGGUACGUCACGUCUGCUGUGAAAACCUGAGGCUCAACCUCGGGCGUGCAGUGGGUACGGGCGAACUAGAGUGUGGUAGGGGAGACUGGAAUUCCUGGUGUAGCGGUGGAAUGCGCAGAUAUCAGGAGGAACACCGAUGGCGAAGGCAGGUCUCUGGGCCACAACUGACGCUGAGGAGCGAAAGCAUGGGGAGCGAACAGGAUUAGAUACCCUGGUAGUCCAUGCCGUAAACGGUGGGCACUAGAUGUGGGGCUCAUUCCACGAGUUCCGCGUCGCAGCUAACGCAUUAAGUGCCCCGCCUGGGGAGUACGGAAU